rnacentral:rRNA from 1 species
CCUACGGGCGGCUGCAGUGGGGAAUAUUGGGCAAUGGGCGCAAGCCUGACCCAGCACCGCCGCGUGAAGGAAGAAGGCUUUCGGGUUGUAACCUUCUUUUCUCAGGGACGAAGAAAGUGACGGUACCUGCAACGGAAGCACCGGCUAACUCCGUGCCAGCAGCCGCGGUAAUACGGAGGGUGCGAGCGUUAAUCGGAAUUACUGGGCGUAAAGCGCUCGUAGGAGGUAUGUCAAGUCAAGGGUGAAAUCCCCGCGCUCAACGUGGGAACUGCCUUUGAAACUGGCAAACGGGAGUGUGUGGUAGGAUAGUGGAAUUCCAGGUGUAGGAGUGAAAUCCGUAGAUAUCUGGAGGAACAUCAGUGGCGAAGGCGACUAUCUGGCACAUAACUGACGCUGAGGAGCGAAAGCGUGGGUAGCAAACAGGAUUAGAUACCCGAGUAGUC